rnacentral:rRNA from 1 species
UCUACGGGAGGCAGCAGUGGGGAAUAUUGGACAAUGGGGGCAACCCUGAUCCAGCCAUGCCGCGUGUGUGAAGAAGGCCCUCGGGUUGUAAAGCACUUUCAGUGAGGAAGAACGCCUGGUGGUUAAUACCCAUCAGGAAAGACAUCACUCACAGAAGAAGCACCGGCUAACUCCGUGCCAGCAGCCGCGGUAAUACGGAGGGUGCGAGCGUUAAUCGGAAUUACUGGGCGUAAAGCGCGCGUAGGUGGCUUGAUAAGCCGGUUGUGAAAGCCCCGGGCUCAACCUGGGAACGGCAUCUGGAACUGUCAAGCUAGAGUGCAGGAGAGGAAGGUAGAAUUCCCGGUGUAGCGGUGAAAUGCGUAGAGAUCGGGAGGAAUACCAGUGGCGAAGGCGGCCUUCUGGACUGACACUGACACUGAGGUGCGAAAGCGUGGGUAGCAAACAGGAUUAGAUACCCUGGUAGUC